UACGUAGGGGGCAAGCGUUGUCCGGAUUUAUUGGGCGUAAAGAGCGUGCAGGCGGCCAGGUAGGUCCGCUGUGAAAACUCGAGGCUCAACCUCGAGACGUCGGCGGAAACCAUCUGGCUAGAGUCCGGAAGAGGAGAGUGGAAUUCCUGGUGUAGCGGUGAAAUGCGCAGAUAUCAGGAAGAACACCCGUGGCGAAGGCGGCUCUCUGGGACGGUACUGACGCUGAGACGCGAAAGCGUGGGGAGCGAACAGG
rnacentral:rRNA from 1 species